rnacentral:rRNA from 1 species
UGUAAACCUCUUUUAGCAGGGAAGAAGCGAAAGUGACGGUACCUGCAGAAAAAGCGCCGGCUAACUACGUGCCAGCAGCCGCGGUAAUACGUAGGGCGCAAGCGUUAUCCGGAAUUAUUGGGCGUAAAGAGCUCGUAGGCGGUCUGUCGCGUCUGCUGUGAAAACCCGAGGCUCAACCUCGGGCCUGCAGUGGGUACGGGCAGACUAGAGUGCGGUAGGGGAGAUUGGAAUUCCUGGUGUAGCGGUGGAAUGCGCAGAUAUCAGGAGGAACACCGAUGGCGAAGGCAGAUCUCUGGGCCGUAACUGACGCUGAGGAGCGAAAGGGUGGGGAGCAAACAGGCUUAGAUACCCUGGUAGUCCACCCCGUAAACGUUGGGAACUAGUUGUGGGGUCCAUUCCACGGAUUCCGUGACGCAGCUAACGCAUUAAGUUCCCCGCCUGGGGAGUACGGCCGCAAGGCUAAAACUCAAAGGAAUUGACGGGGACCCGCACAAGCGGCGGAGCAUGCGGAUUAAUUCGAUGCAACGCGAAGAACCUUACCAAGGCUUGACAUAUAGAGGAAACGGCUGGAAACAGUCGCCCCGCAAGGUCUCUAUACAGGUGGUGCAUGGUUGUCGUCAGCUCGUGUCGUGAGAUGUUGGGUUAAGUCCCGCAACGAGCGCAACCCUCGUUCUAUGUUGCCAGCACGUAAUGGUGGGAACUCAUGGGAUACUGCCGGGGUCAACUCGGAGGAAGGUGGGGAUGACGUCAAAUCAUCAUGCCCCUUAUGUCUUGGGCUUCACGCAUGCUACAAUGGCCGGUACAAAGGGCUGCAAUACCGUGAGGUGGAGCGAAUCCCAAAAAGCCGGUCCCAGUUCGGAUUGAGGUCUGCAACUCGACCUCAUGAAGUCGGAGUCGCUAGUAAUCGCAGAUCAGCAACGCUGCGGUGAAUACGUUCCCGGGUCUUGUACACACCGCCCGUCAAGUCAUGAAAGUCGGUAACACCUGAAGCCGGUGGCCCAACCCUUGUGGAGGAGCCGUCGAAGGUGAUCAUUCAC